GAUGAACGCUGGCGGCGUGCCUAACACAUGCAAGUCGAACGAAGCACUUUAUUUUCUUUCCUUCGGGACUGAUUAUUUUGUGACUGAGUGGCGGACGGGUGAGUAACGCGUGGGUAACCUGCCUUGUACAGGGGGAUAAUAGUUCGAAACUGCUGCUAAUCCCGCAUAAGCCCACAGCAUCCCAUGCUGCACUGUUAAAAACUGCGGUGGUAUAAGAUGGACCCGCGUUGGAUUAUCUAGUUGGUGAGGUAACGUGCUACCAAGGCGACGAUCCAUAGCCGAGAUGAGAGGGUGAAAGGAGACAUUGGGAGUGAGACACGGCCCGAACUCCUACGGGAGGCAGGAGUGGGGAAUAUUGCAAGAUGGGGGAAAGGAUGAUGAAGCGAGGGCGGGUGAGCGAAGAAGUAUUUCGGGAUGUAAAGGUAUAUCAGCAGGGAAGAUAAUGACGGUACCUGAAGAAGAAGCACCGGCUAAAUACGUG
rnacentral:rRNA from 1 species